GCCUGGGUGGCUCAGUCAGUUAAGCAACUGACUUCAGCUCAGGUCAUGAUCUCACAGUUCAUGGGUUCAAGCCCCACAUCAGGCU
rnacentral:tRNA from 1 species